GUGAGGGCUCAGUAUUACAAUUGGAGAUUAUGACAAUGAAUAUAUUGGUAGAAAUAGCAGUUAUUGGUAUGACUAAAUUGCUGUAAGGAAGAGACCAAUAAGGUGAAGGAGGAGAUUAUAGUUUCCUUGUAUAUUCAAAUAUUAGAAAUAGAGAUGAUAAAUUCAAGAGGUAAUUGAUUGUGUGAUCCUAACGUGAAUGCUUAAGCAACUAGUCAUUCCCUGUGUUUGAAUCCCCCUACACGAGUUUAUUCUGGGAGGUUUCUUCUGAAAUAAGUAAAAUGAGCAAUCACAAUUAUAUUAAAAGAUACAAAAGAUCUCUU
rnacentral:lncRNA from 1 species